GUAAUGUUGGAGCAGUUGGUUAUCACGCCAGUCUAAAAUACUGGUGGUCCCUGGUUAGAGCCCGGACGAAAUCAGA